rnacentral:rRNA from 1 species
UGGGGGAUAUUGCACAAUGGGCGAAAGCCUGAUGCAGCGACGCCGCGUGGGGGAUGAAGGCCUUCGGGUUGUAAACUUCUUUUGCUCUGAACAAGGCGCACCAUGGGGUGUGUUGAGUGUAGGGGUUGAUUAGCGCCGGCUAACUACGUGCCAGCAGCCGCGGUAAUACGUAGGGCGCGAGCGUUGUCCGGAAUUAUUGGGCGUAAAGGGCUUGUAGGUGGCUGGUUGCGUCUGUCGUGAAAGCUCAUGGCUUAACGGUGGGUUUGCGGUGGGUACGGGCUGUCUUGAGUCCAGUAGGGGAGGCUGGAAUUCCUGGUGUAGCGGUGGAAUGCGCAGAUAUCAGGAGGAAUACCGGUGGCGAAGGCGGGUCUCUGGGCUGUUACUGACACUGAGGAGCGAAAGCAUGGGGAGCGAACAGG